UUUUUUUUUUUUUUUUUUUUGCGGUACGCGGGCCUCUCAGUGUUGUGGCCUCUCCCGUUGCGGAGCACAGGCUCCGGACGCACAUGCUCAGCGGCCAUGGCUCACGGGCCUAGCCGCUCCGUGGCAUGUGGGAUCUUCCCGGACCGGGGCACAAACCCGUGUCCCCUGCAUCGGCAGGUGGACUCUCAACCACUGCGCCACCAGAGAAGCCCCAGACUUCCCUUUUAACAUAUGGAUAAAUAGUAACCUCUCAGUAAAAUCUUGGAGUCCUCUCAUGGCAGUAAUUGUGCACGUACUGAUGGGAAGGAACUCGCCACAGUGAGUAACAUGCUCUGUUCCCCUCUCUUUGAUUAUCACUUUGACAUCUGUCACAAACAUACCUUCUGUUCCUCUAAUAAUAUCUAUGGGUCUAUUUUGCUGUCAGCAGCAAAGCUUCCCUGAGUAAUCUCAAAACCCUGAAGAAACAAUACCUUGGUGUCACAUUCUUCUCAAGGUUUAUUUUGUAGGCAACUUUGCCAACAACAACCUCUGUUUAUGUAUUAUACCCUGGGGGUGUCCACUGCUCCAGCCACUACCCUAAGGGUGUCCCUUAUCUUUAGGUCCAAGACCCUCCCCUCUAUCCUGGUCAGGCCCUUUGCUGACCCUAUUCCCUGUCCUUCCCUGGGGCUCAAAUCCAGGCCUUAUCUGUCUUAGAGACCAUGGAUGGUUGGGGCCUCAGGUACUGUCUUAAGGGCACUUGGAACACUUCAAUGUCAACCAGAGAAUGUUACUCAGAGAGGUCUGUCCAGACUUGUCUGGCCCCAGCCCUCUGGCAAGUCUAGACAUCUCCACCUCUAGUCAAACGAUCUCCCUGGUAUGUCCAAAGGUGAGCUUUGCAUCUCUCCUGCACCUGCUGCUAUCUCAACCUCAGCGAGGGCACCUCCAGCCAGCUGGUCACCUGUGCCAGGAACCUGAGAAUCAUGGAGCCUCCUCUCCCUCCCUCCCUGCCCUCCUCCAAUCACUCAGUCCUGGCCAUCCCUCAGUGAUAUCCUGGGGAUUGUCCACUUCUCACCUUCAGUAGCCUCAUCUAUGUUCUUAUUUCAUCUUCUCUCAUCUGAACCUUGAGCAGUGGACUCCUUCAGUCUCUGCCCUCAAUCCGUGCUCCAUGCAGCAGCAGGGAGGAAGCCUGCUGGCAGCACAUCCACCCUCAUCAUUCUCCUGCUCAAAACCUUUCCAUGACUCCCCAUUGCCCUCAGGAUAAAAUUAGCUCCUUGUCCUGAUAUUUGAGGCUCUUCACGAUCUGGACCCUGCCAGCCUCACCAGCUCACCUCCCACUGCUGUUCCACUGACUGCCGAGCAUUCUCCUGCUCCCAGCCUUGGUUCAAGGUGAUCCCUCCACCUGGAAUGCUCCCUCCUUCCUAAUCCUUAGAUUCCUUCACCUUCAAUCAUCUGGAGAGUCCACAGCGGCGGGAAUCAACUGGUUAUCCAGGGAGGAUUGAUAAACAAGGCUUUUCUCAGGGCACAUGUGUAUGUUUAGCAUCAGUCAACGUUUAUCUGUUUAUUCAUGUAUAUAUAGGCUUGUUUCGAAAAGGAUUUGAGGGCUUCCCUGGUGGCACAGUGGUUGAGAGUCCGCCUGCCGAUGCAGGGGACACGGGUUCGUGCCCUGGUCCGGGAGGAUCCCAUGUGCCGCGGAGCGGCUGGGCCCGUGAGCCAUGGCUGCUGAGCCUACGCGUCCGGAGCCUGUGCUCCGCAGCAGGAGAGGCCGCAACAGUGAGAGGCCCGCGUACCGCAAAAAAAAAAAAAAAAAAAACAGGAUGUGAGGUGGACCAUUACACAUUUACUGAGUUGUAGCCAACCGCCGCAAAAUCCAUGUGCGCAUGUGCAUCCACGCUCCCUCUGGCAGACAUGAGACCCAGGAACCGCAAGGGCCAGGGCACAGGGCUCCAAGAUCUCUUCCCCUUUCCUCUUGCAACAUUGCCCAGUGGGGGACAGGGUGGCGAUGGAGGUAGUGGGGGCUGAAACUGCGGGAGCCGCUCAGGCUCCAGAUUCCCCUCAGGAAGGAGCCCUGGUCCCCAGCCAAUGAGCAGCCCUGUGGUCACAGCACACUCCGGAGUUCCCAGCACGCUUUCCAUCCUCCGUUCAUCUCCCAACCAGCCUGUGACUAUGUAUCACUGUAUCCAUUUCAUCAGAGAGGAAACCAAAGACCUGAAUGUUGGUGACAGAGCAAGGACUCCAUCCCUCCGUCCUCAGAGGCUAAAAUCCUUCUUCUGUCAACUAUUCCAGGUGCCAUCUGCUCCUGAAUCCUCUGGGCACAGCACAGGGAGCUCAAGAAGUAGGUUGGGGGUUUCCCUGGUGGCCCAGUGGUUAAGAAUCCGCCUGCCAAUGCAGGCAACAUGGGUUCGAGCCCUGGUCCGGGAAGAUCCCCCAUGCCGCGGAGCAACUAAGCCCGUGUGCCACAGCUACUGAGCCUGCGCUCUAGAGCCUGUGAGCCACAGCUACUGAGCCCGCGUGCCUAGAGCCCGUGCUCAGCAACAAGAGAAGCCACCACAAUAAGAAGCCUGUGCACCGCAAUGAAGAGUAGCCUCCGUUCGUCGCAACUUGAGAAAGCCCGCGCACAGCAACGAAGACCCAA